rnacentral:rRNA from 1 species
GAUGAACGCUGGCGGCGUGCCUAAUACAUGCAAGUCGAGCGAACGGACGAGAAGCUUGCUUCUCUGAUGUUAGCGGCGGACGGGUGAGUAACACGUGGAUAACCUACCUAUAAGACUGGGAUAACUUCGGGAAACCGGAGCUAAUACCGGAUGAUAUUUUGAACCGCAUGGUUCAAAAGUGAAAGACGGUCUUGCUGUCACUUAUAGAUGGAUCCGCGCUGCAUUAGCUAGUUGGUAAGGUAUCGGCUUACCAAGGCAACGAUGCAUAGCCGACCUGAGAGGGUGAUCGGCCACACUGGAACUGAGACACGGUCCAGACUCCUACGGGAGGCAGCAGUAGGGAAUCUUCCGCAAUGGGCGAAAGCCUGACGGAGCAACGCCGCGUGAGUGAUGAAGGUCUUCGGAUCGUAAAACUCUGUUAUUAGGGAAGAACAUAUGUGUAAGUAACUGUGCACAUCUUGACGGUACCUAAUCAGAAAGCCACGGCUAACUACGUG